rnacentral:rRNA from 1 species
UACGAAGGGGGCUAGCGUUGCUCGGAAUUACUGGGCGUAAAGGGCGCGUAGGCGGCUCAUACAGUCAGGCGUGAAAUUCCUGGGCUCAACCUGGGGGCUGCGCUUGAGACGUGUGGGCUUGAGGACAGGAGAGGCUCGUGGAAUUCCCAGUGUAGAGGUGAAAUUCGUAGAUAUUGGGAAGAACACCAGUGGCGAAGGCGGCUUGCCAGAACGCGCUCGACGGUGAGGGAUGAAAGCUGGGGGAGCAAACCGG